rnacentral:rRNA from 1 species
AUGAACGCUGGCGGCAUGCCUAAGACAUGCAAGUCGAACGAGAAGGCCCAAAGACGAUGGAGUGCUUGCACAAAAUCUGAUUUGGAAUUUCCUUCUAGUGGCAAACGGGUGAGUAACACGUGGGUAACCUACCUCUAAGACGGGGGAUAACAGUUGGAAACGACUGCUAAUACCGGAUGUGAUCUACGGAUUAAAGGAGCCUUUAAAGCUCCGCUUAGAGAUGGGCCUGCGGUGCAUUAGCUAGUUGGUGGGGUAAAGGCCUACCAAGGCGACGAUGCAUAGCCGAACUGAGAGGUUAAUCGGCCACACUGGGACUGAGACACGGCCCAGACUCCUACGGGAGACAGCAGUUAGGAAUAUUCGUCAAUGGGGGAAACCCUGAACGAGCAAUGCCGCGUGAGUGAUGACGGUCCUAUGGAUUGUAAAACUCUGUUGUUUGGAAAGAACUGUAUAAGUAGGAAAUGACUUAUACUUGACGGUACCAUUCAAGAAAGCCACGGCUAACUACGUG